rnacentral:rRNA from 1 species
AUUGAACGCUGGCGGCAGGCCUAACACAUGCAAGUCGAGCGGGGUUUUCGGACCUAGCGGCGGACGGGUGAGUGAUGCGUAGGAAGCUACCCGAUAGAGGGGGAUACCAGUUGGAAACGACUGUUAAUACCGCAUAAUGUCUACGGACCAAAGUGUGGGACCUUCGGGCCACAUGCUAUCGGAUGCGCCUACGUGGGAUUAGCUAGUUGGUGGGGUAAUGGCUCACCAAGGCGACGAUCCCUAGCUGGUUUGAGAGGAUGAUCAGCCACACUGGAACUGAGACACGGUCCAGACUCCUACGGGAGGCAGCAGUGGGGAAUAUUGGACAAUGGGCGCAAGCCUGAUCCAGCCAUGCCGCGUGUGUGAAGAAGGCCUUCGGGUUGUAAAGCACUUUCAGUAGGGAGGAAGGGGGUUGUGUUAAUAGCACAGCAUUUUGACGUUACCUACAGAAGAAGCACCGGCUAACUCUGUGCCAGCAGCCGCGGUAACAC